AUACGUAGGGAGCGAGCGUUGUCCGGAAUUACUGGGCGUAAAGGGCGCGUAGGCGGCGCUUCAAGUCGUCUGUCAAAUGGAAGGGCUUAACCCUUUUUCGCAGACGAAACUGGAGAGCUUGAGAAGCAGAGAGGCAAACAGAAUUCCUGGUGUAGCGGUGAAAUGCGUAGAUAUCAGGAAGAAUACCAGUGGCGAAGGCGGUUUGCUGGCUGCAUACUGACGCUGAAGCGCGAAAGCCAGGGGAGCGAACGGGAUUAGAUACCCCGGUAGUCCUGGCAGUAAACGAUGUAUGCUGGGUGUGAGACUAGCGAUAGUUUCGUGCCGAAGUUUACGCGAUAAGCAUACCGCCUGGGGAGUACGGUCGCAAGAUUGAAACUCAAAGGAAUUGACGGGG
rnacentral:rRNA from 1 species